rnacentral:lncRNA from 1 species
UCUGGGGAUUUUUCUUUUGCGUUUUUUAAAAUCAAAAUUCAUUUUCUUCAUUUUCCCUUGUAAUGAAAAUAGAGAUUUGAAUGUCUCAAAUAUACAAAGGUUAUUUAUGCACACACAAUCCAGAAAUGCUGAGGUAAGCAUGAUGCAGGGUGGGGGCAGGAGAGGGCACGUUCUCCCAGCCACAGGAAGGGCCCCACACCGAGGCCUGCCAGGGAGCUGGCCACUAGCCAAAGGCCACAGGGGCCCAGGGGAGAGAGUCGGCCUUGCGGUGAGGUCCUGAGAGGGGCUGUGGUGGGUCAGCCCCCCCGGGGCCCUCCAAGGUGGUCUCCAUCCCAUGCAGACCCAGGCCUUGCCCUCUCCAACCCUGGGGAGCUGGGCAGGCCACCCGGGGCGCAGACCCCACUGACUGCCCAUCAUUGAAGCAAAGGCAGGAGGCUGAGUCCAGAGUUGUGCUGGUGACGGGAGAGGGGACAGGUUUGCAUCCUGAAUCCUGGCCUUUCCAUUCCUUUCUGGCCUCCUCAGCAGGAUCU